UCUGACGGGUUGACGUGCGUUCUCUUGACAGCUACUUACUGCUCAGCACUGAUACUACACAGCUAUCCAGGAUGGGAGAAAAAUCACUUUGAACGCGAAAGGAAAAGGAGGGUCCAAGUUCUUUGGGAAAGACACAAGGAGAGUCCUAUCCAAAUUCCAACUCUGACAGAAUGCAGGAUGCAGGCGCCCCACUGGGAUCGGAGAAGCAAGGGGGAAAGCUGGGAGCCCGUAUGAGUCAUCAUCGGAAUCAGGGCACUUUCUGAACGAAUCAAUACUGGUCUUGGUGGUGAUUAGAGCGCUGAUGGAUCAGAGCCAGGCUGCCCUUUUAAUGGUCAUUAUCCCAUCCUACUUUGCCUGGCUGAUGCAGCCAGCGUCUGCUAUCUGCUGCUGAAGCUGAGGCACCGCCGAAG